UACGAGUGCCCCAAGCGUUAUCCGGAAUUAUUGGGCGUAAAGGGUCCGCAGGCGGAAUUGUUAGUCUCGUGUGAAAUCUCCCGGCUUAACUGGGAAACCGCACGGGAAACGGCAAAUCUAGAGGAUAUGAGAGGUGUGUGGAACUCAUGGUGUAGGGGUGAAAUCCGUUGAUAUCAUGGGGAACACCAAAUGCGAAGGCAACACACUGGCAUAUUCCUGACGCUCAGGGACGAAAGCACGGGUAGCGAAU
rnacentral:rRNA from 1 species